rnacentral:lncRNA from 1 species
GCGUGACCUUCCUCCAGGGAGAGCUGUGAAUGCUAUCAAGUUAAGUACCAGGCCAGGCGUGAGCCACUGCACCUGGCCGAGUGAGGCCCUAUUUGAAAAAAAAAAACAAAAACCCAAAAUACGAAAAAAUGAAAAGCCUACAUACUGUAUGAUUUCAGUACAGGACAUUCUGUAACAAGCAAAACUACGGAGACAGCAUAAGGUCAGUGGUUGCCCGAAGUUGGGGAGGGAGGGAUGAAUAGUGGAGCACGGGGGAUUUUUAGGACAGAGAAACUACUCUGUAUGACACUAGAGUGGCAGAUACAUAUGGUUAUGCAUUUGUCCAAACCCAUAGAAUGUAUGAGAGCAAGCGUGAGCCCGAAUGUAAACUAUGGACUCUGGAGAUCAUGAUGUGUCAAUGAAGGUUCAUUGAUUGUAACAAACGUGCCACUGUCAGGGGAGAUGUUGGCAGUGGAGGAGGCUGCAUGGGGUGGAGGGACAGCGGUCUAUGGGAGAGCUCUGUGUCUUCCACUCCAUUUGGCUGUGAACCUAAAACUUCUCUAAAAAAUAAAGCCUAUCAUAAUAUUUUUAAAAAAUCAAGCCAGGCAGAACAGGGUCUGGAGGCAGGGAAUCUAAGGGCAUUUCACACCAACUUCCUAGAACUAAAUUGAAAAGAAAACCCUAACUUUCCAAGCCUAAAUAACAAAAGGAGCCGAAGCUACUUCUUUUGCAAACCUCCUUUUUUUUUUUUUUUUUUUGGAGACAGGGUCUCUGUGGUCGAGGCUGGAGUGCCAGUGGCAUGAUCUUGGCUCACUGCAACCUCUGCCUCCCAAGUCCAAGCGAUUCUCCUGCCUCAGCCUCCCGAGUAGCUGGGACCACAGGCAGGUGCCACCACCACGCCCAACUAAUUUUUUUGUAUUUUUAGUAG